rnacentral:lncRNA from 10 species
AAAAAGAAAGAAAGGAAGGAAGGAAGGGAAAGAAAAGAAAAUCAGUUUUCAAACUCAGAGCUUCCUGGAGAUGUGAAUAGGUAUGGGUUUGUGCACUGCACUGCAAAAUCUACCUAUAAGAUUAAGUCCCUUUGCCAUAAAACAAAGUGACAGUGACAUUGCAUGGAACGCUCUCAGGUGGAACACGAAUAACAUGAUUUCUCUUUUUCAAUUUCUUGAGGCCUUUUUUUAUUUCCUUGGGUCUUCCAAAAUGACUAGUUGCUCCGUAGAAAUGAACUCAAGGAUUUGUUCACCAGACACCUUUGUUAUGAAAGCCCUUUAAGAUUCCAAAAUACUCUUCCGCCAUUUCCUUCUCCAUCUUCCUUCAAAAAGCCUUCCUCUAAUUAACUGAUUACAGCUGAGCUUUAUAACACUAUCAGGAGAAAUAAGUCACUCUUCUGUCUUUUACAAAAAUGGACAUGACAGAUCAUGUUUUCAAUAUUCUUUUGUUCACAUACUUUACAUUCUUUUGAAUACCUCUCCGGUUGUUUCAUGUAUAUCAUCAAAUCACGAUUAUGAGGCUCCAGGAAGGACUAAUGUCAGUAUCAACAGAAACAUUUUACAACAGAAAGAGCAAGUUUUAGGCAUUCAAUAUUUGCUAACCUAAUGUUUACUGAAGUUUUCAACAAACUUUAUGAAGUCUUCUCUUAGGAGACUUAAAGCCAAAUACAAUUAAACUAAUGGAGCCACAGGAAACUCGGGGAUCUUAUUGAAUUCAAUAAUAAAGAUGCUUUUAAAAACAUUUCAUAUAAUUGCCGGUUUAUACUUUUUAAUAAUUGUAUAGCACAAUUACAGAAAUUUAUUUUAUAAAAAUUAGUUACUGAAAUUAUUUGUUCAUUUUGUAGUUAAUUUAUUUUUCCCAUCCUACUUGGAUAAUAUCCCUAGAGGUCAACACAAAUUCUCUAGAUGCUCCUAUAUUUUAACAUAGUUUCAGUUGACCUUUGAAGAAGAUUAUAUAUUGUCUCUAAGAUCUUUUUAAGUUGUAGAGAACUGAAAGCACACCCGGACUUUUAAGAGUAAACGUAUAGUCAUAGUUUUUACUACCUCAUUUAUUUUAUAAAAAAUAGUUACUGAAAUUUAUAAAAGUUAGUUACUGAAAUUAUUCAUUUUGUAGUUAACUUAUUUUUAGUUCAUAAAAAUUAGUUAC